AUUGAACGCUGGCGGCAGGCCUAACACAUGCAAGUCGAACGAGUGGCGGACGGGUGAGUAAUGUCUGGGCAACUGCCCGAUGGAGGGGGAUAACUACUGGAAACGGUACCUAAUACCGCAUACCAUCGGAUGUGCCCUGAUGGGAUUAGCUAGUAGGUGGGGUAACGGCUCACCUAGGCGACGAUCCCUAGCUGGUCUGAGAGGUUGACCAGCCACACUGUAACUGAGACACGGUCCAGACUCCUACGGGAGGCAGCAGUGGGGAAUAUUGCACAAUGGGCGCAAGCCUGAUGGAGCCAUGCCGCGGGUAUGAAGAAGGCCUUCGGGUUGUAAAGUACUGUCAGCGGGGAGGCGUUACCCGCAGAAGAUGCACCGGCUAACUCCGUGCCAGCAGCCGCGGUAAUUC
rnacentral:rRNA from 1 species